rnacentral:lncRNA from 1 species
GUCCUAGAAAUAAAGAAUAAUGAAAUAUGUGGUAUUAUUUUUGUCUACGCAUAUUAUCCUGCAUUCCGAUCGCACGUUAGAUCAGUAAUUCACAUGUAAUUCUCCUAUCAUGUAAAACAACGGGGAUAAAAAAAAGGAUACUCGGAACUUUAUAGAUUUGGUGGUGUGUCUGGUCCGAUUUUCCUGUAUUUACCGCAAACAGGGAC